CAUCAUCGCUGACCUACCGUGGUUAGCUGCCUCCUUGCGGUUAGCGCACUACCUUCGGGUAAAACCAACUCCCAUGGUGUGACGGGCGGUGUGUACAAGGCCCGGGAACGUAUUCACCGCGGCAUGCUGAUCCGCGAUUACUAGCGAUUCCAACUUCAUGCACUCGAGUUGCANANUGCAAUCCGAACUGAGAUGGCUUUUGGAGAUUAGCUCACACUCGCGUGCUCGCUGCCCACUGUCACCACCAUUGUAGCACNUGUGUAGCCCANCCCGUAAGGGCCAUGAGGACUUGACGUCAUCCCCACCUUCCUCUCGGCUUAUCACCGGCAGUCCCCUUANANUGCCAACUAAAUGCUGGCAACUAAGGGGCGAAGGUUGCGCUCGUUGCGGGACUUAACCNACAUCUCNCGACACGANCUGACGAAAGCCAUGCAGCACCUGUUUCUUCCCCCCCCGAAAUUGGACCCCAUNNUCNCUACGGGUUACACC
rnacentral:rRNA from 1 species